UACGUAGGGUGCGAGCGUUUAAUCGGAAUUACUGGGCGUAAAGCGUGCGUAGGCGGUUCGUUAAGUUCGUUGUGAAAGCCCCGGGCUCAACCUGGGAAUGGCAAUGGAAACUGGCGGGCUGGAGUAUGGCAGAGGGGGGUGGAAUUCCGCGUGUAGCAGUGAAAUGCGUAGAGAUGCGGAGGAACACCGAUGGCGAAGGCAGCCCCCUGGGCCAAUACUGACGCUCAGGCAUGAAAGCGUGGGGAGCAAACAGG
rnacentral:rRNA from 1 species